GGGGGCGUCCGGUCUCGACGGGGCAGGUGGGCUUCGAGAUAGCGAGCCGAAGGCGUGAGCGUUACAGCGCAAAGGCAUACAAACGCCAAGCCAAAUCAUCAGCUCGCCUUCGCUGCGUAAGUAGCAAAGGUAUGAGCCCCGGGACCUAGCUCCCGGGCGUCGCUCCCGACGCCGCCGGCACGGCGGGGUAGCGGCGUUAAAACAGCCGGCUGGCUGGGCUGGAGGCGCCACGGCUCCAGCCCGGGACUCUUACCGUGGCUGGUCUGAGGGAUCCCGCCAGAAGGAGCCCAAAGGACGAGAUCAAAAUCCUGGAUACGCUCGUAGAGGUCUCGGGGGACGCUGCUUCGGACGCGGGUUCAACUCCCGCCGCCUCCACCA
rnacentral:tmRNA from 1 species